rnacentral:rRNA from 1 species
GAACUUAGCAGAGAUGCUUUGGUGCCUUCGGGAACUCUGAGACAGGUGCUGCAUGGCUGUCGUCAGCUCGUGUUGUGAAAUGUUGGGUUAAGUCCCGCAACGAGCGCAACCCUUAUCCUUGUUGCCAGCGGCUCGGCCGGGAACUCAAAGGAGACUGCCGGUGAUAAACCGGAGGAAGGUGGGGAUGACGUCAAGUCAUCAUGGCCCUUACGGCCAGGGCUACACACGUGCUACAAUGGCGCAUACAAAGAGAAGCGACCUCGCGAGAGCAAGCGGACCUCAUAAAGUGCGUCGUAGUCCGGAUUGGAGUCUGCAACUCGACUCCAUGAAGUCGGAAUCGCUAGUAAUCGUAGAUCAGAAUGCUACGGUGAAUACGUUCCCGGGCCUUGUACACACCGCCCGUCACACCAUGGGAGUGGGUUGCAAAAGAAGUAGGUAGCUUAACCUUCGGGAGGGCGCUUACCACUUUGUGAUUCAUGACUGGGGUGAAGUCGUAACAAGGUAAGCGUAGCGAG